GACGAACGCUGGCGGCGCGCUUAACACAUGCCAGUCGAACGGAAAGGCCUGCUUUCCCUUGUGGAUUGCGGGUACUCGAGUGGCGAACGGGUGAGUAACACGUGAGCGAUCUGCCCCCAACUUGGGUAUAAGCCUGGGAAACUGGGUCUAAUUCCCGAUAGGACUGCAGGGUGGUGCCUGUGGUGGAAAACGAUUUUCUAGUGGUUGGGGAUGAGCUCGCGGCCUAUCAGCUUGUUGGUGGGGUAAUGGCCUACCAAGGCGGCGACGGGUAGCCGGCCUGAGAGGGUGGACGGCCACAUUGGGACUGAGAUACGGCCCAGACUCCUACGGGAGGCAGCAGUGGGGAAUAUUGCACAAUGGGCGGAAGCCUGAUGCAGCGACGCCGCGUGGGGGAUGACGGCCUUCGGGUUGUAAACUCCUUUCGACCGCGAGGAAGCCACCUGGUUGGAAGGGUGGUGACGGUAGUGGUAGAAGAAGCACCGGCUAACUACGUG
rnacentral:rRNA from 1 species